UUUGCUAGCACAGAGCUACUGGAGCAAAGCGCAGAAGCAAAUUAAAUUUUAAUAAAUUAAACCCAACAGACAAAAUCAUCUUGAUUUCUUGUCAUUCUGAGGAUUAACGUAUCACCUUCUAAAUUAUGAAACUGUUAAAGAAGUUUACAUGCUGCAUUGGCAUCAUGGUUUGCCCAAAUAUUCCUUCAGUGACCAUGGGUAAUGACCUAAUGACUAAUGACCAAGGGACAUGUCACAUCCUUCCAUCUUGUGUAUUAUAUACUACUGGGGUUUUAAAAAGGCAGCAGUGAACUUCAAAAGAAAGCACAGAAACUGAUGAUUUAUGCACUCAAGAGUGAAAAACUGCAGAGAUGCUAACAAGGACACCAACUCUUGAACAAAACAAGAUAGAGACUAGCCUGCCAAAGACACUGACUGCUGAUUUUGCUACAGUGAAGCACAGAGCAUGUGGAUUAUCUAAGAGCGGCUGCCAUUAUCAGGAAGUAAAAACUCCAGGAGGAACCGGGUUCAGCGGUCUGGCCUAAGGCACAGCUCCCAGAAGGCUGCCAGCCUGCGGACUAGUAACACUUCUAGGCAUUUAUCUAGGAAACAUCUAACAGCUUCCCCCUUUCUCUUCAUUUCACAGACUGCUAGCUCAAAAUAGGCACUAAAAAGCUGUUUGAUUAAUUCGUUUCAUGCUUCUUUUGUGUAAGACAUUGAACAGACUUUCUAAGGGAAGGAAGCAACUGUCCUUUCUUAGAUCUUACCCUCCAUCACAUUCAGACACCACGCUCGUUUUGAAGUAAGUCAUGGUCUCGGCUGGGAUACAGCUCAGUGGCACAGGGCCUGCUCGGCAAGUGCAAGGUCCUGAGUUCAAUUCCCAGUACAGAAAGAAAGAAAGCAACCAACCAACUACCCACAGUUCACUGGUAAUCUUUCUUAUUGGUACUCUGCUCUGUGUGUGAGUGUGUCACUCUGGGAAUAAAUACUUUUAUCUUUGAA